rnacentral:rRNA from 1 species
UGGCCGCGACUAUCACACACACAUGCAGUCGAGCGGCAGCACGCGGAAGCUUGCUUCCUGGUGGCGAGCGGCGCUCUAAUAAGUAAUGCAUGGGAAUCUGCCCGAUAGUGGGGGAUAACGUGUGGAAACGCACGCUAAUACCGCAUACGUCCUACGGGAGAAAGGAGGGGAUCUUCGGACCUUUCGCUAUCGGAUGAGCCCAUGUUGGAUUAGCUAGUUGGUGAGGUAAUGGCUCACCAAGGCAACGAUCCAUAGCUGGUCUGAGAGGAUGAUCAGCCACACUGGGACUGAGACACGGCCCAGACUCCUACGGGAGGCAGCAGUGGGGAAUAUUGGACAAUGGGCGAAAGCCUGAUCCAGCCAUGCCGCGUGUGUGAAGAAGGCCUUAGGGUUGUAAAGCACUUUCAGUGGGGAAGAAAGCCUGAGACCUAAUACGUUUCAGGAAGGACAUCACCCACAGAAGAAGCACCGGCUAACUCCGUGCCAGCAGCCGCGGUAAUACGGAGGGUGCGAGCGUUAAUCGGAAUUACUGGGCGUAAAGGGCGCGUAGGCGGUCUGUUAAGCCAGAUGUGAAAGCCCCGGGCUUAACCUGGGAACAGCAUUUGGAACUGGCAGACUUGAGUGCAGGAGAGGAAGGUAGAAUUCCAGGUGUAGCGGUGAAAUGCGUAGAGAUCUGGAGGAAUACCAGUGGCGAAGGCGGCCUUCUGGACUGACACUGACGCUGAGGCGCGAAAGCGUGGGUAGCAAACAGGAUUAGAUACCCUGGUAGUCCACGCCGUAAACGAUGUCAACUAGCCGUUGGAUCCCUUGAGGAUUUAGUGGCGCAGCUAACGCACUAAGUUGACCGCCUGGGGAGUACGGUCGCAAGACUAAAACUCAAAUGAAUUGACGGGGGCCCGCACAAGCGGUGGAGCAUGUGGUUUAAUUCGAUGCAACGCGAAGAACCUUACCUACUCUUGACAUCCAGAGAACUUUCCAGAGAUGGAUCGGUGCCUUCGGGAACUCUGAGACAGGUGCUGCAUGGCUGUCGUCAGCUCGUGUUGUGAAAUGUUGGGUUAAGUCCCGUAACGAGCGCA